rnacentral:lncRNA from 1 species
AGGGGAGCCAUCGGACGGUCUUCCAAAUUAAUUCCAGAAGGGGCCAUACUGAAGUACAUGGAAAGGGCCCAAGCAGCAUAACCGUAUCCAUAUUUAUUAGCAAUUUCCAAUCAAUCCAAGUGCAUAUCAAAGUGAUCUUAUGAUGCUGGUGACCUCCUGGCACAGCAUUAAUUCUUCUCCAAAAUCUUGAAGCAUGAGGGCAGCGCUAUAGA